GACGAACGCUGGCGGCGUGCUUAACACAUGCAAGUCGAACGAUGAAGCCGGAGCUUGCUCCGGUGGAUUAGUGGCGAACGGGUGAGUAACACGUGAGCAAUCUGCCCUUGACUCUGGGAUAACUGCGGGAAACCGUAGCUAAUACCGGAUACGACACCUUGGGGCAUCCCAGGGUGUGGAAAGAAUUUCGGUCAAGGAUGAGCUCGCGGCCUAUCAGCUAGUUGGUGAGGUAAUGGCUCACCAAGGCGGCGACGGGUAGCCGGCCUGAGAGGGUGACCGGCCACACUGGAACUGAGACACGGUCCAGACUCCUACGGGAGGCAGCAGUGGGGAAUAUUGCACAAUGGGCGAAAGCCUGAUGCAGCAACGCCGCGUGAGGGAUGAAGGCCUUCGGGUUGUAAACCUCUUUUAGCAGGGAAGAAGCGAAAGUGACGGUACCUGCAGAAAAAGCACCGGCUAACUACGUGCCAGCAGCCGCCGUAA
rnacentral:rRNA from 1 species